rnacentral:misc_RNA from 1 species
AAGAUCAUCCAUCAUGUCAUCAUUACUGCCUCCCUGGACUGCAGAUCGGGAGCCUGCUGAUUUUCUGAUCAGAGCAUCUUCUUUUCCGGCACGGGGUGACUCCUCGGGCUCCACUGCGACUGGAAUCAUGGCAGGUUCUGGCUCUGACAAAACAACUGUAGGUUUCUUCAAAUCAUCGUACUUCGAAAGGGCUUUUUGGACUUCAUCAUUUACGUUCAGGGCUUCAAAAAGGAGGGCCUCAUUAUCCCCAGCAGUCUCGAUGAUUCUCUGAACAAUAUUGAGGGACUGGCGACACUGUUGUACUAGCGUCACUGUCAAGUCAUCCUGCAGAGCAUCCUGCUGAGGUGAAGAGGACAGAACAGUUGUCAGAAGUUCUAUACUGUUUCUAGCCACAUCAAAUACCUCCUUUGUAUUUUCAGCUGUGAAGUUCUCCCGUGGAAUCUCAUGUUGGAUUUGCUGCGCCAAAGUAACACUUGGUUCUGAAGCUGACACUGUUCUUGGAGGAGUGAAGAUCGGAGCUAGGCUUUCAUGGUCACGACCAGGAAAACGUACCCCUCUAGAUCUCAAACUCUUGUAAGUCUCUUCAUACACAGGUAAAUAGCGAAGCUCACUCGAUGAUUCUCCCCAAGCUUCAAUUAACACCAGCGCUUUGUUUCGAUUGUUAACAACAGUCUGAGGGUCAUCAAUCAACCUCACCAUCUCAUCCAGAACCCUCUCAGCUGCAAUCUCUGAGAAUGCCUUCUCGCAAUUCUUUGCAAUAGUUUCAAGUAACACCAACCCUAAGUACUGAAUCCUGGGGCUCUUCAACAUUAAUCUUUUCUUCACACCCCGUAUAAGUUCAACGCUAUUAAUUCUUUCGUGAUUUAUCAUGUCACAAAGCUCAAGAUUCAUAGCCCAAUCAGGUUCAUCCAGAGUUUCAGCCGUGGCUUCCUCAACAAGUUUAUCA